ensembl:lncRNA
AAGAGGUGGAGCCAGCGGGGAACAGGAGGGGAAGAGGUGGAGCCAGCGGGGAACAGGUGGGGACAGUGGGGAACAGGUGGGGACAGUGGGGAACAGGAGGGGAAGAGGUGGAGCAAGCGGGGAACAGGAGGGGAAGAGGUGGAGCCAGCGGGGAACAGGUGGGGACAGUGGGGAACAGGUGGGGACAGUGGGGAACAGGUGGGGACAGUGGGGAACAGGAGGGGAAGAGGUGGAGCCAGCGGGGAACAGGAGGGGAAGAGGUGGAGCCAGCGGGGAACAGGUGGGGACAGUGGGGAACAGGAGGGGAAGAGGUGGAGCCAGCGGGGAACAGGAGGGGAAGAGGUGGAGCCAGCGGGGAACAGGUGGGGACAGUGGGGAACAGGUGGGGACAGUGGGGAACAGGUGGGGACAGUGGGGAACAGGUGGGGAUAGUGGGGAACAGGUGGGGGCAGUGGGGAACAGGUGGGGACAGUGGGGAGCAGGUGGGGACAGUGGGGAACAGGUGGGGGCAGUGGGGAACAGGUGGGG